CUACCCUUGACAUGCUCGGAACUUGCCAGAGAUGGCUUGGUGCCCGAAAGGGAGCCGGGACACAGGUGCUGCAUGGCUGUCGUCAGCUCGUGUCGUGAGAUGUUGGGUUAAGUCCCGCAACGAGCGCAACCCUUGCCAUUAGUUGCUACGAAAGGGCACUCUAAUGGGACUGCCGGUGACAAACCGGAGGAAGGUGGGGAUGACGUCAAGUCCUCAUGGCCCUUAUGGGUAGGGCUUCACACGUCAUACAAUGGUCGGUACAGAGGGUUGCCAACCCGCGAGGGGGAGCCAAUCCCAGAAAACCGAUCGUAGUCCGGAUUGUAGUCUGCAACUCGACUACAUGAAGUCGGAAUCGCUAGUAAUCGCAGGUCAGCAUACUGCGGUGAAUACGUUCCC
rnacentral:rRNA from 1 species